CCUACGGGGGGCAGCAGUAAGGAAUAUUGGUCAAUGGAGGAAACUCUGAACCAGCCAUCCCGCGUGAAGGAUGAAGGGGCUCUGCCUUGUAAACUUCUUUUGUCUGGGGCGAAAAAGCUCGAUUUAUCGAGAACUGACGGUACCAGAAGAAUAAGCACCGGCUAACUCCGUGCCAGCAGCCGCGGUAAUACGGAGGGUGCAAGCGUCAUCCGGAUGAACGGGGUUUAAGGGGUGCGUGUACGGCUGAGUAGAAAGGCUGUGGCUUAACCAUGGAAUUGCCAUUGAUACUGCAGAGCGUGAAUGAGGUUGAGGUUGGCGGAAUGUGACAUGUAGCGGUGAAAUGCUUAGAUAUGUCAUGGAACACCGAUUGCGAAGGCAGCUGACUGGACCUAUAUUGACGCUGAGGCACGAAAGCGUGGGGAGCGAACAGGAUUAGAUACCCUUGUAGUC
rnacentral:rRNA from 1 species